UCUUGGUCCCAUUUAGAGGAAGUAAAAGUCGUAACAAGGUUUCCGUAGGUGAAAGUGUUCAGCCUACCAGAGUGGCCCCCCGCGGCCGCUAGUUGGCACCAUGCCAGCGACACGCUGAAUGUGCGGAAACGCCCUGGCACCAGGGAAAUCCGCAGCCCACCUCCCUUACCCGGAGGUCGGUCCAGAGACUCAAUAAGCGUGGGUCUGGCCGCAAGGCCGGACUUGAGAUAGAGCCCAUCCUCGCUGGCGACAGCGAGGGGCAAAUGGAACCUGCGGAAGGAUCAUUAAUGAAUACAGGCCUCACGGCCGAUAUUCUCACCCAUUGUCUACCUAACUUCGUUGCUUUGGCAGGCCUUCAGCGCCUGUCAGAGGCCCUAAACUCUUGAAUCUCUGCUGUCUGAGUACUAUACAAUAGUUAAAACUUUCAACAACGGAUCUCUUGGUUCUGGCAUCGAUGAAGAACGCAGCGAAAUGCGAUAAGUAAUGUGAAUUGCAGAAUUCAGUGAAUCAUCGAAUCUUUGAACGCACAUUGCGCUCCCCGGUAUUCCGGGGAGCAUGCCUGUUCGAGCGUCAUUACAACCCUCACGCUCAGCGUGGUCUUGGGCUCGCCCCGCGGGGCCUGCCUCAAAAUCAGUGGCAGCACUGGCCGCCCCUAAGCGUAGUACUACUCGCCGCUUCUGGGUCGCGGGCAGCGGCUGUCAGCCAACCCCCAUCUUUUAAUGUUGACCUCGGGUCAGGUAGGGAUACCCGCUGAACUUAAGCAUAUCAUAA
rnacentral:rRNA from 1 species